GACGAACGCUGGCGGCGUGCUUAACACAUGCAAGUCGAACGGAAAGGCCCUGCUUUUGUGGGGUGCUCGAGUGGCGAACGGGAGAGUAACACGUGAGUAACCUACCCUUGACUUUGGGAUAACUUCAGGAAACUGGGGCUAAUACCGGAUAGGAGCUCCUGCUGCAUGGUGGGGGUUGGAAAGUUUCGGCGGUUGGGGAUGGACUCGCGGCUUAUCAGCGUGUUGGUGGGGUAGUGGCUUACCAAGGCUUUGACGGGUAGCCGGCCUGAGAGGGUGACCGGCCACAUUGGGACUGAGAUACGGCCCAGACUCCUACGGGAGGCAGCAGUGGGGAAUAUUGCACAAUGGGCGGAAGCCUGAUGCAGCAACGCCGCGUGCGGGAUGACGGCCUUCGGGUUGUAAACCGCUUUCGCCUGGGACGAAGGGGGAGUGACGGUAAUGGGUAAAGAAGCACCGGCUAACUACGUG
rnacentral:rRNA from 1 species